UGUUCGCCGAAUCGCUCUCUCAGUAAAGC
rnacentral:sRNA from 1 species